UUUCAUCGAACUUUGA
rnacentral:rRNA from 1 species